UCUACGAGAAAAAUGGAGGGAGCUGUCUCGCGUUUUUCCUCUCUUCUCAGUUUCUCCUCACUCGAAUAUCUCUCCGUGAGAAAUCUCAUCCCCCCAAAAUCCAAUUGAAAUCCGACGACUCUACUUCUCCCAUCAGGGCCGUCCAUUCAGCAGACAGAAAUGCAGCUUCGAGGAUUUCUCCUCAAAGACCAAGGCUGUCGAAUCCCCCGAGGAAAACACAGAAGCUGUGUCCGGAGUUUCUGCCUCGUAGAGCAGGGCAUUUUGAUCCUGCGAAGAAGAUGUAGAAUCUAAACUCGGAGGUUUCUCCUCAUAGAGCUGGUGUUGUUUUCUAUAAUUUUGUCCCACCAGCACAUUUUAGUGUCCCAUGAUGUGAUUUUUCUAAUCGUGCGCCCCUAGAUAUAGCAGGUAGAACUCUGUGAGAGGUUAAUUCCAGUUCAUCGUGUGAUGUACUAGUCUUAUUGCAUUGCCACUCUAUACAGGUGGUGGUAUGUCAGGUCAAUUCCAGCUGUCUAUCAAGUGGGCCCUAUGGUGUAUUGUCCAUGGUAAAAAAAUGCAGUGCCCCCAAUCCCUAGGUGUUUCAACUUUGUCCAUCAAAUGGAGGGGGAAAAUAAAAGAAAAUGGUCAGUAGUUUAUAUUCAAGUGGGAAACAUCCAUGAAUCAGGAGGCUAGAAUCAAGGUGUAAAAAACGGAUGCGUGAUAGCCGUUGUGGCUAUUACAUAAUGGUAAUGAUGGGGACUGUUAGGUGUUACGGGGCCAUGAUGGUCUGUAUCAUAAUGGCAAUAUUGGUGGGCGUUUUGGUCACUGUUGCCUUUAUUGAAUACAUUGGCUAGAAUUGUCCAAUUGUUUUCGUGGAGUGGACCAUCUGAAGUAGGGCCAACCAGAUGGAUGUUUCUGGUCAGCAGCACAUAUGGUGGUGAGCGGCAAUGAACACUGAAUGGUUUGCUGGGAUGAACCGGAAAACUAUUUGUUCUGGAAAAUGUGGGCAGAACUGGUCCAGCAGAUUUGUUCAUUCGGUGCUAGAAGCCAACUUUAUAUAAUAGAAAUUUUCUUCAUUGUGUUA